UGCGAGUGUCUUCACCUCUGAA
rnacentral:miRNA from 1 species